CCCAGCCCAGGCCCCUUUCGUUUCCCUCUCUCACCCUUCGUCGUCCACCGUCACCGAAAAUUACCUACGGCGGCGGCCCGUCUCUAGUCUCACCCAAAUUUACAUCACAUAAUCCCCAUAACUCCCUAAAUCCUAAUCCCUCAUCAAUCUCCACAGAUACCACCAAACCUCAUCAAUUUCAGAUCUUAGAACCUUUAGAAACCUUAGUUCAUGCCCCAUUUGAUUUUUCUUUUAAAUCCUGGUCUAUCUUGUGCUACAACUUGCAUCAAUUGACUAAUUGGGUUGAAAGCUAUCAAUUGACGUUUUUUUCGUGGCAUUUGGGAGUCCCCAAUUUAUUGGCAAAAUCCUCACUGAUGUGCUGAGUUUCCUUCUCCCUCCACCUCCUUACAUUUGAUUCUCCGGCCGAGCUAUAGUCAUUAUCGUUACAUGCAGCCACUGUUUUUGCCUUUCAAGCUUGAAUCAGUGCUCACGUGACGAUAUCGACCACUGCCCGAAUUGUUUAAAGUGAGUAGUGAUGUCAUCAAUAGGUAAUUCGUCCUUCCAUUCUUGCAUGGUCGUUUUGCUUAGUUGCACGAUUUACUGUUAGAUUUUUGUUUUGUUUGUUAUUUUACAUAUUAUAGUUUAGUUUUAGGUUAAUUACGGCAUGUUUUCGCUUAGUUUCAAUUAUACUUAGUUGAAUUUGCUAAAUUGUCAUUUGAAUUGCUUGUUUAAUAAUGCAUCACAGUUGAUUGAUAGUGUGUUCCUUCAUAUGAUAAGUUUGUAGGUUAAUUGACUUUGAUUAGUUAAGUACAGGUUUAAAUUAUGUUGAUCACCUAAAAUGGCAGAGUCGAAUUUUGUUCUGCUUUGCUGUGAUUUUUUAUCCCUUUAAGUUUCAUGGAUAGUUGUUUGUAAUUAACAAAAGCUAAAGAGGUCAAAGGGAUUUGGAAAAUUAGGGAAUCUAAGUUGGUUGUUGGGGGAAAUCUCUAGAAGGGUUUAAAGUGCAAUAACCCAGAGAUUAGAUCAGAUUUUAGGGUUAAAAGGGUUAAUUUCAUAAGAUAAAAGGGUUGAAAAAAAUUGAGUAAAUAUCUGUAUUUUAAGGACAGUUGUCCAAUUCAAUUUUAAAAGAUGCCCUUUCUCUUUAUUUUUAGGGACUGCAUUCUCCAGAAUUAUUCCCUCACAUUUUUCUUUAUAAGGUCUAACAUUCCUUCACUCACACACAUACUAAGACACUGUAUAUUUACUCACUCAAAAGGAAUACACGAAAAACCCUCAAAAACUUCAGAGAAUUUUUCAUUUUUAUUCUGAAUCUUUCUCUUUUUAGUUCAAGGUUAGAAACGGAAAACAAAGAAAAAAAAAGGAACUUCUAAGGGUAUUUAUUCUGUCUCCAUUUGCUACUGGAUUUUACUCCGUUCUGCUAGAAUUUCAAAUCAGUUGCUGGUUCUUUUGUUCUUGUUGAUUUCCUGCUACUGCAUUUGCUCUUGUUGCUGCCCUCUUUUUCCAGUUUUCAGAGACUUAUUUUCUAUUUUAUUUUGAUUCUGCUGCUAUAGGUAUGUUUCAUAUUCUGUACUCAUCCAGUUCGGUUCAACAAAUGCAAAUCUGAUAUUUUACAUGCUCCAUCAUGUGUUUAGUUUUCUUAUUUGAUAUUGAUUUCUUCUAGAUGUGUGGAUGUUGCCCCUACUAGUAUGGAUUGAAUGCUUUUACUUGGUUUUAUGUUGCUUAUGUUCGGCUUUAUAUAUCCAGCGUGCUUUAGGUCUCGAUGCUACUUGGUGUUCAUCUUUUGUUGAUCUUUGUUUUGUGUAUUAUAAAAUUAAAUUUAAUUUGUUAAAGCACGGCAUUAACCAGUUCAUUAUCUUCGAUAGCAUGUUAUUGUUUAACUAAUGAUUUGUGCUUAAAAUGGUAUUGAGAUGUGGUGGAUGGAUGGAUUUGACCACCAGUUGAUCGGAGUCAUCUCUGAAGAAAUCAGUGCAGCAUUUUAAUUACAGAAUUAUAUAGUGAUUUGAUUUAAUAGCUUUUCAUAUGACUAAUAGAUUCAGAUUUCAAUGACUAGCUAUAGAAGUUUGUCUGAGUUGAAGUGAAAUUCAUUGGCCAUAUUUUCUAGAGUAGCUAUUUAUUGUAAUGAUUUGAAGAAAGAAUACUAAUUUAGAAAGAUUAUUUUUGUAGAGUAGCUAUUAUUGUAAUAUUUGUUCAUAGCUAUCAUUGUAACAAAUUGAGAUUAUUCAACUAUCGAUUCUGUAGUUUAAUUGUCGAUUUAGUAAUUUGAUAUUGCUCAACUGAUCAUAUAUACAAACCUGCUUAUGAAUUGGUUUGAGUCUCAUACAAACAAUACUAACUUGGCUCAUUAAGUUCUGGUAGUAACCCAAUAGUUUUUGACAUAUUCUGUAAUCCAUAUUGCUUUUACAAUCAUUUUAUUAGCCCAUUGCAUGAUGUUAACGCUCUGGUCAUUGAUUAAUUUGUGAGUUUAACUUACG
rnacentral:lncRNA from 1 species